rnacentral:rRNA from 1 species
UACGUAGGUGGCAAGCGUUGUCCGGAUUUACUGGGCGUAAAGAGCGCGCAGGCGGUCGUUCAAGUCGCGUGUGAAAGCCCCCGGCUCAACUGGGGAGGGUCACGCGAUACUGAUCGACUCGAAGGCAGGAGAGGGUAGUGGAAUUCCCGGUGUAGUGGUGAAAUGCGUAGAUAUCGGGAGGAACACCAGUGGCGAAGGCGACUACCUGGCCUGUUCUUGACGCUGAGGCGCGAAAGCUAGGGGAGCAAAGCGGG